rnacentral:rRNA from 1 species
UGGGGAAUAUUGCACAAUGGGCGAAAGCCUGAUGCAGCGACGCCGCGUGAGGGAUGAAGGCCUUCGGGUUGUAAACCUCUUUCAGCAGGGAAGAAGCGCAAGUGACGGUACCUGCAGAAGAAGCGCCGGCUAACUACGUGCCAGCAGCCGCGGUAAUACGUAGGGCGCAAGCGUUGUCCGGAAUUAUUGGGCGUAAAGAGCUCGUAGGCG